AACGAACGCUGGCGGCAUGCCUAACACAUGCAAGUCGAACGAGACCUUCGGGUCUAGUGGCGCACGGGUGCGUAACGCGUGGGAACCUGCCCUUAGGUUCGGAAUAACUCCCCGACAGGGGUGCUAAUACCGGAUAAUGUCUUCGGACCAAAGAUUUAUCGCCUUUGGAUGGGCACGCGUUGGUUUAGCUUGUUGGUAGGGUAAAAGCCUACCAAGGCGACGAUCCAUAGCUGGUCUGAGAGGAUGAUCAGCCACACUGGGACUGAGACACGGCCCAGACUCCUACGGGAGGCAGCAGUGGGGAAUAUUGGACAAUGGGCGAAAGCCUGAUCCAGCAAUGCCGCGUGAGUGAUGAAGGCCUUAGGGUUGUAAAGCUCUUUUACCCGGGAUGAUAAUGACAGUACCGGGAGAAUAAGCACCGGCUAACUCCGUG
rnacentral:rRNA from 1 species